UACGGGGGGGCAAGCGUUGUUCGGAAUUACUGGGCGUAAAGGGCGUGUAGGCGGCCAACUAAGUCCGACGUGAAAUCCCCAGGCUUAACCUGGGAACUGCGUCGGAUACUGGAUGGCUUGAAUCCGGGAGAGGGAUGCAGAAUUCCAGGUGUAGCGGUGAAAUGCGUAGAUAUCUGGAGGAAUACCGGUGGCGAAGGCGACAUCCUGGACCGGCAUUGACGCUGAAGCGCGAAAGCUAGGGGAGCAAACGGG
rnacentral:rRNA from 1 species